UGUGCGAAGGAGCAUAAUCAGUAGUCUUUUAAUUGGAGGCUGGAAUGAAUGGUUGGACAAGGGGGAAGCUGUCUCUUUUUACAAUUUUUGAAUUUUACUUUUAAGUGAAAAGGCUUAAAUAAUUUGGGGGGACGAUAAGACCCUAUAAAAUUUUACAAAAUUGGGAUUUUUUUUUGAAUUAAGGUUUAAAUUCUAUAAGUUCUUAUUUGUUUUGUUGGGGCGGCAAAGAUAAAAAUUAGUAACUGUCAUUUAAUUAGAAUAAUUAUAAUUAGUUUAAUUGAUCCUUUAUUAGAGAUUAAAAGAUUAAGUUACUUUAGGGAUAACAGCGUAAUUUUCCCUGAGAGUUCUUAUCGACGGGAGUAGUUGCGACCCCGAUU
rnacentral:rRNA from 1 species